rnacentral:rRNA from 1 species
GACGUAGGGUCCGAGCGUUGUCCGGAGUUACUGGGCGUAAAGGGCGCGUAGGCGGGCGACCAAGUCCGGGGUGAAAUCUUUCGGCUCAACCGGAAGAGUGCCUUGGAUACUGGUUGCCUCGAGGGAGGUAGGGGCAUGCGGAACUUCCGGUGGAGCGGUGAAAUGCGUAGAUAUCGGAAGGAACGCCGGUGGCGAAAGCGGCGUGCUGGACCUCUUCUGACGCUGAGGCGCGAAAGCCAGGGGAGCGAACGGG